rnacentral:rRNA from 1 species
CCUACGGGUGGCAGCAGUGAGGAAUAUUGGUCAAUGGUCGGGAGACUGAACCAGCCAAGCCGCGUGAGGGAGGAAGGUACAGAGUAUCGUAAACCUCUUUUGUCAGGGAACAAAGGCGGGGACGUGUCCCCGGAUGAGUGUACCUGAAGAAAACGCAUCGGCUAACUCCGUGCCAGCAGCCGCGGUAAUACGGAGGAUGCGAGCUUUAUCCGGAUUAAUUGGGUUUAAGGGGUCCGUGGGCGGUCUGUUAAGUCGGCGGUAAAAGCCCGGGGCACAACCCCGGACCGCCGUGGAAACUGGCAGUCUCGAGUUGGAGAGAGGUAUGCGGAAUGCGCGGUGUAGCGGUGAAAUGCAUAGAUAUCGCGCAGAACUCCGAUUGCGAAGGCAGCAUGCCGGCUCCACACUGACGCUGAGGCACGAAAGCGUGGGUAUCGAACAGGAUUAGAUACCCGUGUAGUC